rnacentral:rRNA from 1 species
CCCUUAGAUGUCUGGGGCUGCAUGUAUGCUACAAUGGUCAGAGCAGAAUUAAAAGAGAUGGCUCUGCUAGAUGGGAGCAUCCCUUGGGGCCUCCCACUCUUAAUGGUUGACUGUUUCCUGGGUUGACGAGCCCGGGAGAUCAACUGGAAUCUUGAUUGUGAUUGAGACAGAGUCUUGUAAUUAUUACUCUCGAACGAGGAAUUCCUAAUAGGUGCAUGUCCUGUAAGUCAUGACCUUGCAUCAACUGUGUCCCUGCCCUUUGUACAGACUGCUUGUGCUACUACCAAUUGAGUGCCCUAGUGAGGUCAUCUGAUUGUUGCCAAGGCUGGCUUUCAUGAGCUGUGCUUCCAAUGAAAAGGUGAUCAAACUUGAGCACUUAGAGAAAAUAAAAUUUGUCACA